rnacentral:rRNA from 1 species
AUUGAACGCUGGCGACAUGCCUUACACAUGCAAGUCGAACGGCAGCACGGGUGCUUGCCCCUGGUGGCGAGUGGCGAACGGGUGAGUAAUACAUCGGAACAUGUCCUGUAGUGGGGGAUAGCCCGGCGAAAGCCGGAUUAAUACCGCACACGAUCUACGGAUGAAAGCGGGGGACCUUCGGGCCUCGCGCUAUAGGGUUGGCCGAUGGCUGAUUAGCUAGUUGGUGGGGUAAAGGCCUACCAAGGCGACGAUCAGUAGCUGGUCUGAGAGGACGACCAGUCACACUGGGACUGAGACACGGCCCAGACUCCUACGGGAGGCAGCAGUGGGGAAUUUUGGACAAUGGGCGAAAGCCUGAUCCAGCAAUGCCGCGUGUGUGAAGAAGGCCUUCGGGUUGUAAAGCACUUUUGUCCGGAAAGAAAUCCUUGGCCCUAAUACGGUCGGGGGAUGACGGUACCGGAAGAAUAAGCACCGGCUAACUACGUG